rnacentral:rRNA from 1 species
GAAUCCCGUCUUUGGCACGGAAACCCCAGGGCUUUUGUGAUGCGCUCUCGAAGAGUCGAGUUGUUUGGGAAUGCAGCUCAAAAUGGGUGGUGAACUCCAUCUAAAGCUAAAUAUUGGCGAGAGACCGAUAGCGAACAAGUACCGUGAGGGAAAGAUGAAAAGCACUUUGGAAAGAGAGUGAAACAGUACGUGAAAUUGUUGAAAGGGAAACGCUUGAAGUCAGUCGCGUCGACCGAGACUCAGCCUUGCCCUUGGCUUGGUGUACUUCUCGGCUGACGGGUCAGCAUCAAUUUUGCCCCUUGGAUAAUGGCGAGGGAAAUGUGACACCUUUACGGUGUGUUAUAGUCUCUUGUCGCAUGCAAGGGUUGGGAUUGAGGAACUCAGCACGCACCUUUGGGUGUCGGGGCUUUGCCCACGAUACGUGCUUAGGAUGUUGGCGUAAUGGCUUUAAACGACCCGUCUUGAAACACGGACCAAGGAGUCUAACAUGCCUGCGAGUGUUCGGGUGGAAAACUCGUGCGCGCAAUGAAAGUGAAAGUUGGGACCUCUGUCGUGGAGGGCACCGACGCCCGGACCAGACCUUCUGUGACGGCUCUGCGGUAAAGCAUGUAUGUUAGGACCCGAAAGAUGGUGAACUAUGCCUGAAUAGGGUGAAGCCAGAGGAAACUCUGGUGGAGGCUCGUAGCGAUUCUGACGUGCAAAUCGAUCGUCAAAUUUGGGUAUAGGGGCGAAAGACUAAUCGAGCCAUCUAGUAGCUGGUUCCUGCC